UACGAGGACCCCAAGCGUUAUCCGGAAUUACUGGGCGUAAAGCGUGAGCAGCCGGUUUUGCUAGUCUCAUGUCAAAUCUCACUGCUCAACGGUGAGACAGCGUGGGAAACGGCAAAACUAGAGUGGGUAAGAGGUAGACGGAACGUGCAGUGUAGGGGUGAAAUCCAUUGAUAUUGCACGGAACACCAAAAGCGAAAGCAGUCUACUGGGCCGACACUGACACUGAGAGACGAAAGCUAGGGGAGCGAAUGGG
rnacentral:rRNA from 1 species